ACAUGUUUGUUUGGAGUUAUAAAGAAUUUGACCUGCCCCCUGAUUAACUAUUAAAGGGCCGCAGUAUUAUAACUGUGCAAAGGUAGCAUAAUCAUUAGGUUUUUAAUUGAAAUCUCGUAUGAAUGGUUGGACAAAAGAAAGACUCUCUUUAUAUUAAGUUUUGAAUUUAACUUUUAAGUGAAAAGGCUUAAAUAUUCUAAAGGGACGAUAAGACCCUAUAAAACUUUACAUUGUUAUUAGUUUUGAUUGAAUUUAUGAAAUAAGAAUUUUAUUUGAUUAUUUGUUAUGUUGGGGAGACACAAGUAAAAUAUUUUUUUAACUGCUUGACAAUUAUACAAUUAUUAGUGAGUAAGUAGAGGAUCCUUUUUAAGAUUAGUAGAUUAAGUUACUUUAGGGAUAACAGUGUAAUUUCUUUUGAGAGUUCUUAUCGAAAAAGAAGGUUGCAACCUCGAUGUUGAAUUAAAAUAUCUAUAUAAUGGAGAGGUUAUAUAAGAAGGUCUGUUCGACCUUGAAAUUUUUACAUGAUUUGAGUUCAAACCGGUGUGAGCCAGGU
rnacentral:rRNA from 1 species